CGUGAUUAUUUUUCCGACCCAAAUAUCGACCAAUAGAAUUGCACCAUUCGACGUCACGUGGUACAACCUACAUGGUAUUAUACUGAAAAUUUUUUGAAUAUUUUCUCUGGUCGUUGCUACGUCAAACUGACAGGUUGUGGCCGACAUUUGGGACGGAAAAAUAAUCCCCCGAAUACCACACGAGCUUCAAAAUUCUCUGGCAUUUCCCUCAAGGUUCCCUGCAAACAAAUAAAGUCGUCAAGUUUUCCAGGAAAAAUCACUCGCGCUUCGCGCUCGUUAUUUUUUAACCUGAAAAACUUGACUCCUUCAUUUGUUUGCAACGAAGCUAUCGGAAAAUACCCGAUAAUUUUGAAGCUCUUGUGGUAUUAUAAGUGAUUAUUUUUCCGACCCAAAUAUCGACCAAUAGAAUUGCACCAUUCGACGUCACGUGGUACAACCUACAUGGUAUUAUACUGAUAAUUUUUUUUGAAUAUUUUCUCUGGUCGUUGCUACGUCAAACUGACAGGUUGUGGCCGACAUUUGGGACGGAAAAAUAAUCACUUAUAAUACCACAAGAGCUUCAAAAUUAUCGGGUAUUUUCCGAUAGCUUCGUUGCAAACAAAUGAAGGAGUCAAGUUUUUCAGGAAAAAUCACUCGCGCUUCGCGCUCGUUAUUUUUUAACCUGAAAAACUUGACUCCUUCAUUUGUUUGCAGGGAACCUUGAGGGAAAUGCCAGAUAAUUAUGAAGCUCGUGUGGUAUUCGGGAGAUUAUUUUUCCGUCCCAAAUGUCGGCCACAACCUGUCAGUUUGACGUAGCAACGACCAGAGAAAAUAUUCAAAAAAUUUUCAGUAUAAUACCAUGUAGGUUGUACCACGUGACGUCGAAUGGUGCAAUUCUAUUGGUCGAUAUUUGGGUCGGAAAAAUAAUCCCCCGAAUACCACACGAGCUUCAAAAUUAUCUGGCAUUUCCCUCAAGGUUCCCUGCAAACAAAUAAAGUCGUCAAGUUUUUCAGGAAAAAUCACUCGCGCUUCGCGCUCGUUAUUUUUUAACCUGAAAAACUUGACUCCUUCAUUUGUUUGCAACGAACCUAUCGGAAAAUACCCGAUAAUUUUGAAGCUCUUGUGGUAUUAUAAGUGAAAAUU
rnacentral:lncRNA from 1 species